rnacentral:rRNA from 1 species
CAAUAGCGUAUAUUAAAGUUGUUGCGGUUAAAAAGCUCGUAGUUGGAUUUCUGCUGAGAACGACCGGUCCGCCCUCUGGGUGUGUAUCUGGCUCUUUCUUGGCAUCUUCUUGGUGAACGUUGCUGCACUUGACUGUGUGGAGCGCUACCCAGGACUUUUACUUUGAGGAAAUUAGAGUGUUUCAAGCAGGCAUACGCCUUGAAUACAUUAGCAUGGAAUAAUAAGAUAGGACCUCGGUUCUAUUUUGUUGGUUUCUAGAGCUGAGGUAAUGAUUAAUAGGGAUAGUUGGGGGCAUUCGUAUUUAACUGUAAGAGGUGAAAUUCUUGGAUUUGUUAAAGACGGACUACUGCGAAAGCAUUUGCCAAGGAUGUUUUCAUUGA